rnacentral:rRNA from 1 species
GACGAACGCUGGCGGCGUGCCUAAUACAUGCAAGUCGAACGGUCUUUUCUAUGGAAGCUUGCUUCCGCUGAGAAGAUAGUGGCGAACGGGUGAGUAACACGUGGGUAACCUGCCCAUAAGAGGGGGAUAACAGCUGGAAACGGCUGCUAAUACCGCAUACGCUUUCCGGGACACAAGUGCCGGAAAGGAAAGAUGGCCUCUACAUGAAAGCUAUCACUUAUGGAUGGACCCGCGUCUGAUUAGCUAGUUGGUGGGUAGAAGCCUACCAAGGCGACGAUCAGUAGCCGGCCUGAGAGGGUGACGGCCA